CAGAGGUCCCGAGCGUUGUUCGGAUUCAUUGGGCGUAAAGGGUGCGUAGGCGGCGGGGCAAGUCGGAUGUGAAAUCCCGGGGCUCAACCCUGGAACUGCAUUCGAUACUGCCUUGCUUGAGUACUGGAGAGGGAACUGGAAUUUACGGUGUAGCAGUGAAAUGCGUAGAUAUCGUAAGGAAGACCAGUGGCGAAGGCGAGUUCCUGGACAGUUACUGACGCUGAGGCACGAAGGCCAGGGGAGCAAACGGGAUUAGAUACCCCGGUAGUCCUGGCAGUAAACGGUGCGCGUUUGGUGUGGAGGGAUUCGACCCCUUCCGUGCCGGAGCUAACGCGUUAAACGCGCCGCCUGGGGAGUACGGUCGCAAGAUUA
rnacentral:rRNA from 1 species